rnacentral:rRNA from 1 species
CUACGUGCCAGCAGCCGCGGUAAUACGGAGGGUGCGAGCGUUAAUCGGAAUAACUGGGCGUAAAGGGCACGCAGGCGGUGACUUAAGUGAGGUGUGAAAGCCCCGGGCUUAACCUGGGAAUUGCAUUUCAUACUGGGUCGCUAGAGUACUUUAGGGAGGGGUAGAAUUCCACGUGUAGCGGUGAAAUGCGUAGAGAUGUGGAGGAAUACCGAAGGCGAAGGCAGCCCCUUGGGAAUGUACUGACGCUCAUGUGCGAAAGCGUGGGGAGCAAGCAGGAUUAGAUACCCUGGUAGUCCACGCUGUAAACGAUGUCGAUUUGGGGGUUGAGCUUUGAGCUUGGCGCCCGUAGCUAACGUGAUAAAUCGACCGCCUGGGGAGUACGGCCGCAAGGUUAAAACUCAAAUGAAUUGACGGGGGCCCGCACAAGCGGUGGAGCAUGUGGUUUAAUUCGAUGCAACGCGAAGAACCUUACCUACUCUUGACAUCCAGA